rnacentral:rRNA from 2 species
GUGGGUAGUUUGACUGGGGCGGUCUCCUCCUAAAGAGUAACGGAGGAGCACGAAGGUUGGCUAAUCCUGGUCGGACAUCAGGAGGUUAGUGCAAUGGCAUAAGCCAGCUUGACUGCGAGCGUGACGGCGCGAGCAGGUGCGAAAGCAGGUCAUAGUGAUCCGGUGGUUCUGAAUGGAAGGGCCAUCGCUCAACGGAUAAAAGGUACUCCGGGGAUAACAGGCUGAUACCGCCCAAGAGUUCAUAUCGACGGCGGUGUUUGGCACCUCGAUGUCGGCUCAUCACAUCCUGGGGCUGAAGUAGGUCCCAAGGGUAUGGCUGUUCGCCAUUUAAAGUGGUACGCGAGCUGGGUUUAGAACGUCGUGAGACAGUUCGGUCCCUAUCUGCCGUGGGCGCUGGAGAACUGAGGGGGGCUGCUCCUAGUACGAGAGGACCGGAGUGGACGCAUCACUGGUGUUCGGGUUGUCAUGCCAAUGGCACUGCCCGGUAGCUAAAUGCGGAAGAGAUAAGUGCUGAAAGCAUCUAAGCACGAAACUUGCCCCGAGAUGAGUUCUCCCUGAGACUUUAGGUCUCCUGAAGGAACGUUGAAGACGACGACGUUGAUAGGCCGGGUGUGUAAGCGCAGCGAUGCGUUGAGCUAACCGGUA